GAUGAACGCUGGCGGCGUGCCUAACACAUGCAAGUCGAGCGAAGCGCCUUACUUGAUUUCUUCGGGAUGAAAGUAUUGUGACUGAGCGGGCGCGGGUGAGGACGUGAGAGUAACUGCUCAUACAGGGAUAACAGUUAGAAAUGACUGCUAAUACCGCAUAAGACCACAGCGACCGCAUGGUGCAGGGGUAAAACUCGGUGGUAUGAGAUGGAUCCGCGUCUGAGUUAGCUAGUUGGUAAGGUAACGGCUUACCAAGGCGAACGAUCAGUAGCCGACCUGGAGUAGGGUGACCGGCACAGUCGGGACUGACGACGACGGACCCAA
rnacentral:rRNA from 1 species